AGAAAGCUAGUCUAACCAAGACAGUUGAUUUCGACUCAACAGAUUGCAGCCCACACACUGCAGCUUUCUU
rnacentral:tRNA from 1 species